rnacentral:rRNA from 1 species
AACGAACGCUGGCGGCAUGCCUAACACAUGCAAGUCGAACGAGACCUUCGGGUCUAGUGGCGCACGGGUGCGUAACGCGUGGGAACCUGCCCUUAGGUUCGGAAUAACUCCCCGAAAGGGGUGCUAAUACCGGAUAAUGUCUUCGGACCAAAGAUUUAUCGCCUUUGGAUGGGCCCGCGUUGGAUUAGCUAGUUGGUAGGGUAAAAGCCUACCAAGGCGACGAUCCAUAGCUGGUCUGAGAGGAUGAUCAGCCACACUGGGACUGAGACACGGCCCAGACUCCUACGGGAGGCAGCAGUGGGGAAUAUUGGACAAUGGGCGAAAGCCUGAUCCAGCCAUGCCGCGUGAGUGAUGAAGGCCUUAGGGUUGUAACGCUCUUUUACCCGGGAUGAUAAUGACAGUACCGGGAGAAUAAGCUCCGGCUAACUCCGUG